UAGACUUCGUUCUCCACAACGAGACGUCCAGGGCUUUGCUUAAAUGGACAGAGAAUGUUGAGAUACCGGAUGAAUCUUUUUUUUCUACACUCAACUACAACCCACAGUUAGCCAUCAAAGGAGCGUACAGAGGAGAGCCGGAUGGUGCAAGACAGUUCAUCGCUCGCUACAAAGUUUGGCUAGGCGGCGAGUGUGGCGGCCGGUUUGUGAGGGAAAUUUGCAUUCUGACAACAAGUGACUUGCCUCGACUAGCCCAAGCCAAAGAGCUAUUCGCCAACAAAUUUUUCCUGAAUGAGGACAGGCUGGUGAUUGGCUGUCUGGAGGAGAAAAUCUUUAACGACACACGGGAUGAGUACCUGGGGGUCAAAGGUCUCAACACCAGCUUCUACAGCUCGCUGGAUUACGUCACGAAUCAA